UCGAGUGGGUUUAGACCCACGGCGGACGGCUGCGUAACACAUGGAUACCUGCCCCGAACUCAGGGAUAUCCCUCCGAAAGGAGGAGUAAUACCGGAUGGUCCCGCAAGGGUAAAGCUUUAGCGGUUCGGGAGGGGUCUGUGCCCUAUCAGUUAGUUGGUAAGGUAAUGGCUUACCAAGACAAUGACGGGUAGCUGGUCUGAGAGGACGACCAGCCAGAAUGGAACUGAGACACGGUCCAU
rnacentral:rRNA from 1 species